rnacentral:misc_RNA from 1 species
AAGAGUUGCAAAACUCCCCAAACCAUUUCGCGAAACGUUACCUGAAACGUCGUUGCUUCGGCGGGAGGCUCCUCCGCCGGGGGGGACGCCGGAGGAAUCCAACUCUUGCUUUUCUUCGGGCCUCUCUGAGUAUGAUUUUAUAAAUAAGUA